UAUCGCAAUGGAUAGCGCAUUGGACUUCUAAUUCAAAGGUUCCGGGUUCGAGUCCUGG
rnacentral:tRNA from 1 species